GACGAACGCUGGCGGCGUGCUUAACACAUGCAAGUCGAACGCUGAAGCCCUUUCGGGGGUGGAUGAGUGGCGAACGGGUGAGUAACACGUGGGUAAUCUGCCCUGCACUCUGGGAUAAGCCUUGGAAACGGGGUCUAAUACCGGAUAGGACACAUCGCCGCGUGGUGUGUGUGUGGAAAGUUCCGGCGGUGCAGGUUGAGCCCGCGUCCUAUCAGCUUUCUGGUGGGGUGAUGGCCUACCAAGGCGACGACGGGUAGGCGGCCUGAGAGGGUGAGAGGCCACACUGGGGCGGAAACACCGCCAAGACUCCUACGUGAGGCGAGAGUGAGGAAUCUUGCGCAAUGGGCGAAAGCCUGACGCAGCAACGCCGCGUGGGGGAUGACGGCCUUCGGGUUGUAAACCUCUUUCGACCGGGACGAAGGGUGACUGACGGUACCGGUAGAAGAAGCACCGGCUAACUACGUGCCAGCAGCCGCAGUAA
rnacentral:rRNA from 1 species